AGCGAGCCGCUUCCCGGCGCUUGGGAGGGGGAACGCCAGGCAUUCCGUGUGGCGAGCCCGGGUAUGGAAACAUCCACCGCGGGCAGGGGGCGGGGGCGGCUGCAGGGACAGGGAGGCGUUCCAAGCGCGGUAAAAGUGGGUGCGCAGCUUCCAACCGGUGACAACGGACUUCGCACUGCGCGCGGGCUCGUUUCCCGGUCAGGCUGCGGGGGUGUCUCCGAAUCCGGCGGCGAGCUCGCCGUCACAGCUGCCUCCCGUCAUAGGCGGCGCGGGUAGCGCUAAGGUAUUCUCAGUCACCGUUCGGUCGCGCUCUACUUUACCUACCUCCCAAGCUUACGUUCCUCGUGUACCUUAGCGUGCUUCACCGUGCAAAUCUGACGUUUUAUUUCUCGCUGCUACGGUGGAUGUUUGCUGUUUGGAUCUGCCUGGUAAAUUCAGAAACGGAAGAGUUUGCACUUAUUUGAAAUUUACUUCAGGCUGUCAGAGCUCUUUAAAUGUUUGUGUUACCAAGUGACUGCUGAGCCACUGUAGGAUGCAGGGAGUCCAAGCUUAUGCGCUCAAGCAUUGAAAUUGACCUUCAAACAUUUUUAAAAGCCCUGUGUGUGCUAUUUAUUCAUUGAAACUGGCUUUGACAAGUGAAAAAAUCCCAGUUUCCAUGUGGUGUGUCGCUGACCCCAAAAUACACAAUCAACUGUAGGAGUGACUUUGUGGCCUGCAUUAGAGAAAGGCAGUGUAACACUGUAAUGACAAUAAGUACUUUUAGUCUCAUUACAAUGUCCUUCCAUGGAUACAUAUCCAGUUUAUGUCAAUGGUAAUUCAGAAUAAAUGGAAAAUUCGUCUUAGUAGAUUUGUGUUGUGCCAGAAACAAGAAGGCUGCAUAAUUAAGUAUCGAUUUCAGACAGACUGUUACCUUAACAUGCAGAUGUAUGCAAAGGCAUUAUUGUUCCAUACUUCCAGAGUUUGAUUUUGCAGUAGUGCUACUGUAUGUUACGAGUUUUAGUUUGUAUUGUUCACAUCUAAAGUAAGAAUUCGGAUACUAGCGUUUACUGCAUCUUGUGAUAAGCAAGCCUCUGUCCCUUCUGUAACUGACCUUUGCAAGUAUUUAAUUAUAAAUGUGGGUAUUAAAGGAAAUAACUUUCCAGAGCAGUCACAUUUCUCUUAUAAUUCCUCAGUUUUGUUUCUCCUUCUUCCUCCAUUUCCUUUUGGUGAGCUUUAUUGGUUUGCAUGUUUUGUUAGAACAAACUAACAUUUUCCUAUGACAGUUAAGCUCACAAGGAUGAGUAUUCUUCACUUACAACAUUAAUCUCCAAAUGCAUGUAGCCAGAAAACCUUUUGUUUCUCAGGGCAUCAAGUUGUCAACAGAGGUCAAACCAUUUGUUACAAAACAUGCAGCGGUAACUGUGCCAUGGUCAGAACCCUCAGAAGCAUGUGUCUUUCCUAGGUACUUAACUACAUGCUACCCAUUUGUUCAGGAACCAUCUUUGGAUAAGCAGCAAGUAUAUGCUGAAGAUUUGCCCCAGGAUGACUUCUCAUCUCUUUCUCAAUGUCCAUCACUUAGUGUUCUGGGAGAUCCUGCCUUGCGUGAAUACUCCAGCUGCUGUUACUCACCUGAUGUUGUUUCAAAUGUAUAUCCAAUAGCUGGCUCACAAUAUCGUUCUAACAACUCAACACACUAUAAUGGUUCAGGAAUAGUCAGUGAAUCUGCUGGGCAAACGUAUCCCAUCAGACAAGAAAGUAAGAAUCUUUCAAAGCAGAGGAGAUCAAAAGAGGGUGAGAAAAAAUUAGACAAGAAGAGGCAUGAUGGAGAUGACUCUUCUGUCAGAAUUGUGAACAGGACUUCGUUCCAGACCUCUGCAUGCAGCAGAGAUUCCGUGAAGCCAGACAGGUUCAAUAAAACUGCAAACAAGAAGUCAACUCAGACUCCAAAACCAGAGUCUUUUCCUGUACCUGCAUUUGAAGCUACCAUUCGGGAUUUCUGCAAGUCACAGAGUUUGGGAAGCAGCGAGGUAUUGAAGGUACAGCAUAAAAGUGGACCAACAUGUUCAGCAGAAAGUAACAUUACGUGCCUUAGUCAACCACAGAUGUCUCUCUUGAACACAGAGGAACAUACAUAUGCAGAAAGCAAAGCUUCAUCGAAGCCUUCAGAUGGACCGGUGGCCAGCUCAAUUCCCUCCUCAUUUGAUGGUAGAGCAUUUCCUGAAGCACCUGCAGAUGGCUCUGCUCAGCCACAUGUGUCUUGGGCCAUGGUACUUUCACAGCCCCCAAAGAAAAUUGUGUCAUCACCAGCAUCUGAAGGUCUUUCCAGAGGCAAAGGGAAGCAGAAUAGUGAAGCAAAGCAGUCAGAAACAAAAAAUAAUGCCAGUGAAACUGAGCCUGAAGAAGGGUCAGAAAAGAAGAAAAAAAAGAAGAAAAAGAAGAAAAAAAUGAAGUUGCCCAGUAAUGUAGAGAAGCCUCAAAAUGAAUCUACAAUACCAGAACCACCAAGGAUUGAGGAUGCUGAGGAGUUUCCUGACCUGGCAGCUGCUUCUGAUAGGAGAAACGGACAAGGAUCUCAGAAAUCAUUUACUCCUGCUGUCAGAAAGCAGUCUGAAAUCCAUCUCCCUGAAGAGCCUUGGGAUAGUCGGUCUCCCACACUGGAUAGAACUUCCAAGGUGCAUGGACUAUCAGGGAAGCAGGCUUCAUCUUCUAUAUUAGAAAGAAAGAAAAUGCAGGAAACAUCCAGGAGCAGUGGUAAGAAGAGUCAAAUUCCCGUGCAAUUGGAUUUGGGUGGCAUGCUGGCAGUGUUGGAGCAGAAGCAGCAAACAGAGAAGUCAAAACAGUCUUCUAAACCUGUGGUAUUUUCAGUUGGUGGUGCCAUACCAUUGCUUUCUAAAGAACCUGCUACAGCCAUAAAAAGUCACCGGUUAAACCAAGAAAAGAUGCCUCAUAACCCUUUGGAUUCCAGCGCUCCUUUGGUAAAGAAAGGGAAACAGAGAGAAGUCCCUAAAGCAAAGAGACCAACACCUCUUAAAAAGAUUAUUCUGAAAGAGAGAGAACAACGAAAACAGCAACGCCUGUUAGAACAGAGAGCAGUACCAAAAGAUGAAGAUAAUGCUUGUCAGUCUGCAGAAAAUGUUAUUGAGGAUGAAACUCUUGUACAGGAUAGUCAAGCAGCUGUUCCUGUAAUGCAAGUUGCUGAGGGGUUUCUGGAGAACACUGGGUUCAACGUAUCUACAGAAGGUUCUAUGAGUUCAAAGCAGCUAACCUCCAAUCUUCCCAAAAUCCAUAGUAGGAAUUUUAGAGAUUACUGCAACCAGAUACUUAGUAAAGAAGUUGACAGCUGUGUGACAGAUCUCUUAAAAGAACUGGUUCGUUUCCAAGAUCGCUUGUAUCAGAAAGACCCCGUAAAGGCCAAGAUAAAACGCAGGCUUGUUAUGGGUCUUAGAGAAGUAUUGAAACAUCUGAAGCUGAAGAAACUGAAGUGUGUCAUCAUCUCUCCUAACUGUGAAAAGAUUCAGUCAAAGGGCGGGUUGGACGAGACUCUACACAACAUUAUUGACUGUGCCUGUGAACAGAAUAUCCCGAUUGUUUUUGCCCUUAAUCGCAAGGCCCUGGGCCGCUGUGUGAAUAAAGCAGUGCCUGUGAGUGUGGUGGGGAUUUUUAGCUAUGAUGGGGCUCAGGACCAUUUUCAUAGAAUGGUACAAUUGACAACAGAGGCCAGGAAGGCCUACAAAGAUAUGAUAGCAACUUUAGAGGAACAAGCUGAAGGAGGACUAAGAGAAACCCAACCCAGCACCUUAACCACUGAAAAAAACGAAAAAAAUGAUUUAUCAGAAACUGGUAAAACAUCUUCCAAGGACUCUGAUGAGGAUGUACCAAAUUAUAUUAAAAUCUGGAAGAGAAAACUUGAAGAAGAGUAUAACCCAUAUGCACUGGAACUGGAGAAGAGUGCAACUGCUGACAUGGUGAUAGCAAAUUCGGAAGAGCAUCAGUAAAUCCAGAUCCAAUUCUGUUGGCUUUUGAUUUCUUUUUAGGCCCCCUAGGAAGAGGGUAGCAAAACAAAGUAACUUAAUAAAUAUCUGAACUCAGCUGAGGAAACUGUUCUGAAUCCCUUUAAGUGAAAUACACCCUGGAGCUCCUGAGGCACUGGCUAAUGCUUUUACGUUCCAUGUAUUUGGCUGAUUACUAUAGAAGAUUACAACAACCAAUUGUCUUGGCUUGAACUGGCUUGGCAUCCUUUAAUGGUUGUAUGGACUAGCAUUGAUUUGUUAGUGAUACAACGUAGCAAAAGAACUUGCUAGAAAGAUAAUUUUGUUUGGGAAGACAUUCCAUGAGCCAAAAGAUUGGGGCCUGGGGGGAGCUGCUUUUUAUUUUUAACUUUUGUUUAAAGAACUUCAACUGUUUUUUGAUUGUGGGCUUGCUUUUGGUGUUUUUCUUCCAAGUAAAUCUGCUCAGGUGGGCAGGCUGGCAUCAAUGUCACUUUCCUCCAGUCAGCAAGAAAUUAAUUCUGGGCAGGCAGCUUGAUUGAAACUAAUUAAGGAAGGCCAUGGUGACAAAGUUCCCACUUAGCUCUUCUGUGUGGUGUUUUGUUCUUCUGGGAUCAUACAGCAGGUGUGAAGGGAGAGACCAUGGACUGCAAAGGUCUGAAAUUCCAGAAAUGAAAAUGCUCUGUUUAGAAAUUUUAUGAAGCUGAUUAAGUGUACAACGAUGAUAUUUCUGCUGCUACUGAGACUAGUUUAUCGUAGGUCCUGCUCUGAAGUUAGGGGAUAUUGAAGGACAGCACCUGUGCAAGCUUGCUGUCCUGUCUGUACCUUCUCCAUGCCAACAUUCCUUCAGUUUGGGGUUGUGUUGGUGUAUAUAUGUAAGCUUUUUUGAUCAAUCUCAGUUUGUAUCUAAGGUAGGGAGAAUUUAUAUCUCAUACAAAAUAAAAUUUAUAUCUUGUAGGGAAUAAAAUUUUAAAAACAAAGUGUGCUCAUAAUGGUGGUGCAGUACCUUAGUGGAAACAUCCUAUAUAAAUACCAUCGUUCACAAGUUGCAGACAUAAGAGGACAAGGUAAAGGAAGUAAUUGGAGGAUGCAUGUGUAACUUCUGUCAGAUGUUCUGAAAGAUGGUAUAGAUGCUAUGUGCUGCUGCCAGCAUCUCUGAAGUGUGCCUUUUUUUCUAAUCUUAAAUGGAAAUUAAGGGUGAAAGAUCCCAGUGAAACCAUGAAAGAUGGUUUUGGCCAGCGGUUAUCCUUGAUAACCAUGUACUUUGCUGCAGAGACAAGGCAAAGCUCAGCUAUGCUCAUCUGAAAUGGAGGUGAAUCUUACAAAGCCUUACCUUCCCACUCAGUACCACAGAAUUAAACUUGUCUGCUCCAAAUCUACUGAACAAAUAGAGGAGGACAAUUCAAGGAAAGUCUUUUUACAGUUGUCCCUUAGCCAUAAAAGAUGUCAUAAGAGAAGCACAAUGGGGAAAAACUUCCCUCUGAAUAGUUGGUGUGAGAAGCUUGCAUCAGCAUUGAUUUAUGAUUGCUAGUGUGAAAAAUAGGUAAAAUAAUUUGUGCAUAAGAGUUUUCACCCUGCAUGUGUGGCCAGAGUGUGGUCUGUUAUUGAAAAAAAAAAAAAAGGUCAUUUAGGAAAGUCUUAGAGUGAGGAGAAUUCUGUCUUCAAUGUGAGAAACAAUUGAAUUUGAAUUAAAUUUUAAUUAAAUUUAGGGGAUAACUUAGGGGUAAGUAUGAACUUUUCUGCUGUUGCUAGGAGCAGCUGUCCCCAUGGACUCAAGCUACAGUGAUUCUUAGGUGGCAUCUUACUCGCUUCCAGAUUGUUGAAAACCGUUGAGAAGACACAAAACUUGAAUUAGGCCUCAGACUUCUGUUUAUUAGAUGCAGAAGGACAAAACUCUGAACAGCAAUGCAGUAAAACGAUGUCACAGUGGAUUAAGUAGGUCCUCUGGUGACACCAGAAAGGAAUGCUCUUCAAAACACUGGGAACAGAAUAUAA